AGUAGCGCAGCUAACGCGUGAAGUUGACCGCCUGGGGAGUACGGUCGCAAGAUUAAAACUCAAAGGAAUUGACGGGGACCCGCACAAGCGGUGGAUGAUGUGGAUUAAUUCGAUGCAACGCGAAAAACCUUACCUACCCUUGACAUGUCUGGAAUUCCGAAGAGAUUUGGAAGUGCUCGCAAGAGAACCGGAACACAGGUGCUGCAUGGCUGUCGUCAGCUCGUGUCGUGAGAUGUUGGGUUAAGUCCCGCAACGAGCGCAACCCUUGUCAUUAGUUGCUACGAAAGGGCACUCUAAUGAGACUGCCGGUGACAAACCGGAGGAAGGUGGGGAUGACGUCAAGUCCUCAUGGCCCUUAUGGGUAGGGCUUCACACGUCAUACAAUGGUCGGGACAGAGGGUCGCCAACCCGCGAGGGGGAGCCAAUCCCAGAAACCCGAUCGUAGUCCGGAUCGCAGUCUGCAACUCGACUGCGUGAAGUCGGAAUCGCUAGUAAUCGCGGAUCAGCAUGUCGCGGUGAAUACGUUCCCGGGUCUUGUACACACCGCCCGUCACACCAUGGGAGUGGGUUUUACCAGAAGUAGUUAGCCUAACCGUAAGGGGGGCGCUUACCACGGUAGGAUUCAUGACUGGGGUGAAG
rnacentral:rRNA from 1 species